AGCUUUACACAGUGGCAGUAUAAUAGCCAAUGAGGUUUAUCUGAGGUGCAAUCAUGGCUAAUUGAAAACUUAAUUAAUAUGACCUGACAUUAUUUAUCUUAGCCUGUUACUAAAUUGCAAUUUUCAAUAAUUUAUAAU
rnacentral:snRNA from 1 species